GGGUGCACAAAGUCACUGUAACAUAAGCAAAGAUUGUUGCUCAAUAUUACAAAUGCCAAAUGUGAAAAGACUUUUUUUUAAAGUCAAGAUAAACACAUCUCUCUAAUACCAUAGAAAACUUCAGUCCCGGUGAACAUACAGUUCACUAGGACUGAAGCAGCAGUGAGAACAGUCACUGGUGCACUUUGUUCCAUCAAACAGCAUAUUUGCAAGCUGAAAUCUUUCAUUGACCAGUGAAGAUGUUUCCCAAGCUACAGGAUAAAUUAAAUAUUCCAAGGUGAAGUGGUCAUACCAAACGAAUGUCCAAAACAGAACUGACUCCUAAAAGAAAAGGCUGCCUAAGAAACUCUCCCGGCGGUAAAGCCAUUUGAAAAUGGGCGAAGACGAACUGUGAUGAAAGUAGUCCCUUUCGCUAUCUUCUCCAUGGAAACACAUGCAAAGCUGGUGCACUGGAAAUACUGCAGAGGACAUUUUCAUGAACUACCCACUAUUUUUAU